AGUAUAGUAGCUUAGGGGUAGAGCGCUAGGCUUAUAACCUAGAAGUCUCUAGAUUAAAACUAGGUCAUACUA
rnacentral:tRNA from 1 species